CCUACGGGAGGCAGCAGUGGGGAAUAUUGCACAAUGGGGGAAACCCUGAUGCAGCGACGCCGCGUGAGUGAAGAAGUAUUUCGGUAUGUAAAGCUCUAUCAGCAGGGAAGAAAAUGACGGUACCUGACUAAGAAGCCCCGGCUAACUACGUGCCAGCAGCCGCGGUAAUACGUAGGGGGCAAGCGUUAUCCGGAUUUACUGGGUGUAAAGGGAGCGUAGACGGCGGAACAAGUCAGAAGUGAAAACCCGGGGCUCAACCCUGGGAGUGCUUUUGAAACUGUUUGGCUGGAGUGCAGGAGAGGUAAGCGGAAUUCCUAGUGUAGCGGUGAAAUGCGUAGAUAUUAGGAGGAACACCAGUGGCGAAGGCGGCUUACUGGACUGUAACUGACGUUGAGGCUCGAAAGCGUGGGGAGCGAAAGGGAUUAGAUACCCUUGUAGUC
rnacentral:rRNA from 1 species